rnacentral:rRNA from 1 species
CAAUAGCGUAUAUUAAAGUUGUUGCAGUUAAAAAGCUCGUAGUUGGAUUUCUGGUAGGAGCGACCAUACUGAGCUUGAUUGUUCAUGUAAUGUGUUGUCUCCAGCCAUCCUCGUGGAGAGUGUUUCUGGCAUUAAUUUGUUGGAUUCAGGACCCACGUCAUUUACUGUGAAAAAAUUAGAGUGUUUAAAGCAGGCAUUUGGCUUGAAUACAUUAGCAUGGAAUAAUAAGAUAGGACUUUGGUGCUAUUUUGUUGGUUUGCACAUCAAGGUAAUGAUUAACAGAAACAGUCGGGGAUAUUAGUAUGUAAAUGUCAGAGGUGAAAUUCUUGGAUUUUUUACAGACUAACUACUGCGAAAGCAUUUAUCAAGGAUGUUUUCAUUAA